rnacentral:rRNA from 1 species
ACGAACGCUGGCGGCAUGCCUAACACAUGCAAGUCGAACGAGACCUUCGGGUCUAGUGGCGCACGGGUGCGUAACGCGUGGGAAUCUGCCCUUGGGUUCGGAGUAACUCCUCGACAGGGGUGCUAAUACCGGAUAAUGUCGCAAGACCAAAGAUUUAUCGCCCAAGGAUGAGCCCGCGUAGGAUUAGCUUGUUGGUGAGGUAAAGGCUCACCAAGGCGACGAUCCUUAGCUGGUCUGAGAGGAUGAUCAGCCACACUGGGACUGAGACACGGCCCAGACUCCUACGGGAGGCAGCAGUGGGGAAUAUUGGACAAUGGGCGAAAGCCUGAUCCAGCAAUGCCGCGUGAGUGAUGAAGGCCUUAGGGUUGUAAAGCUCUUUUACCCGGGAUGAUAAUGACAGUACCGGGAGAAUAAGUCCCGGCUAACUCCGU